rnacentral:lncRNA from 1 species
AUGAAAGGUGUAGUAUAAAUGCAACUCAUUACCAUUUUAGGCAGAAUUCCCAGGCUGGCAUUUAGCAAUUAAAAAAGCAAAGCUAAACAAGCCCAGGAGAUCAACAAUCCAUUUUUUUUCAACCCAAGAUGCUCAGUUAUUAUGGACAAAUCACUAGAAGACUCUAUUGUCCUUUGCUGACUCUCUUUGGAGCCUCUAAGGCAGCACAGAAUAAGCAAUAAUAGAAUGGAAAUACGCAUUAAUCUAAAGGAAUUGAGUGUAUGGUUACUUUUGUCUGCGUACAGACCUGGAGUCCAGCAGGCCUCUGGCUUCAACCCUGAUCAUCAUUUGAAAAGAGCAUGCCCAAUGUACGCACUGUCCUUUCAUCCUGAAUCCCGGACAAAGAGACUUAUGGAGCAGGUGUGAACCCAGUCUGCAUACUGGAGCCACAUGCAGCUUAACUGGUCAGGUGAGCUCAACCACUUCCAGGGGAACCGUAGACAAACAGAAGAUUCCUGAGUGAGAAACAAAUGUUUGCUGUUGUAAACCAUCAAGAUUUUGAGGUAGCUGCAGCUUCUUUACUUAAGCAAAGCCUGACUGGUACAAUGCCCAAUAUUUUCUAAGAACUAUGCUUGGUGCUUAAUUUUUGUUAUUUCAAACUUACAAAAAGCAUUAUAAAAUUAUCA